rnacentral:rRNA from 1 species
UACGAAGGGGGCUAGCGUUGUUCGGAAUCACUGGGCGUAAAGGGCGCGUAGGCGGCGAAGUAAGUCAGGUGUGAAAGGCCCGGGCUCAACCCGGGAAUUGCGCUUGAGACUGCUUUGCUUGAGUCCGGGAGAGGAUGGCGGAAUUCCCAGUGUAGAGGUGAAAUUCGUAGAUAUUGGGAAGAACACCGGUGGCGAAGGCGGCCAUCUGGACCGGUACUGACGCUGAGGCGCGAAAGCGUGGGGAGCAAACAGG